rnacentral:tRNA from 1 species
UAUAUUUUAAUGUAUAAGCAUUAAAAUUUUUGAUAUUUUAUGAGAUAAAAUUAUUAUCAAAUAUAA